GUAGCGUUAUUGUUUAAUUACAGCUUUUUGGCGAUGGCAGCAUAAACAUGUGCAGCCUAGGAAAGCAGGUAUAGCUCCACUGUUCCAAGUUGCUGUUGGAUCAUCCAUCAUAUUCUAUGUGUUCAAUUACUUACGUAUUAGUAAGUAUACAAUUUGAAAAACAA
rfam:Dufourea novaeangliae contig258, whole genome shotgun sequence.